UGGAAUGCAUUUCUUUCUAGAGCUUUCUCUGUUUAAACCUCUGUGUUCCUGCUCACACAAGCGAGAAUCAGAGUGAUUGACACACGACACGACCUCUGAGGGACACUCCAAUGCAGGCUCCUUGUGUUUCGGGGCCCAGACAGGAUCUCCCAGUCCCACCAGGAUGUCCCUGGAUCCAGGAUCCUUAGCUGCACUCUCUUAUUUCAGAAUGUGAUGUGUCUUCUGGGGUGACAUCAAAAUAUACCCAGUCAGGCUGCCAGCACCCUUGAAGGUCUUUAGGAGUGGCAAGCGCCCUCCUCCCUACCCAGGCAUCGGCGAUGGCACAAGAAGUGCCGGUGACUCCAGCGGCAGUGGCCCCUUCCUCAGUGGGUCAAGCUCGCCAGGUGCUUCUCUGAGCAUUGGGCGUUCACUCCUGGGCUCAGUCCCCUCGAAACCCCACAGGUCACCUGCAGACGAGAACACCCCAUCUUACAGAAUGUUUUCCGAUGUCAAAUUAUUAUUUAACUGCAGCCUUCAAGACGCGUGUCCUUCACGGUCCCAGCUCAUGCAAAGUUAAUGGCACUGGAUAAAUGCACAAAACACUGCCGGCGGGUAUUCCCGCAUCGAGCCGCGAUCCAGGCCACAUUCUCACGAACACACGCCCCCGGGCAGGGCAGAACAAAGUCUGCUGUCACCAGGAUCUAAUCCAGGAAGACUGUCAUUGGGCCAGAACGAAGCUCCGUGCGCAUCCACAGGCCCCCCUUCUCUCCUCCCACAGCCCCCACCCCAGCUCCUGGCGAGAGGCAAGGAUGUUUCAUGGUUAUGCUUCGUCCCUUCAGUUAGAUUCCAAGAGCCUGAGGGACUCGUCCCUUGUCUUCGCACAGAGUAGGUGCUUAGUGACCAGCUCAUCUUGGCGACGGAGCUCGCUCUCCCCCUGGGGGUGCUCCGCCCCUUUGCUGCUGGUCUGGCCACUGAGAGGUGCGUGAGAUGAUUGGAAGAGAAACUCGGAUGCCUGGGCUGCCCUCUGCGCUCCCACUAGGAAGACCCACACCCAGGGUGCCCCGUUGCCAGCCCGAUGCUGCGUGGACCUCCUGUUGAAUUCCGUUUGAUUUAGGGGAGACAAGGACUCCUGCGGUCUUACAUCGUAACGAGAAUGCGGACCAUUCAGGGACACUUUGUGGUUUCCCAGCUCAUGCCGACACGGUGAGGACAUCGCGGUGACAGCAUCGGCGGUGCAGACGGUGGGGACGGGGAGACACGCUCUGACACGCGUGGGCCUGCACCAGCUGCUGGUGGACAAGGAGCAGGCCCCACACCAGCCGCGACGACGCAGCCGCCCUUGUGCCUGGGAAUCCACACAUUCAACCCCCUCUCGUUGGGAGAACAUGAAAGCUCAAGAUAAUCCCCUAAUCCUGUGGCAUUUAAAAAAAAGUCUUGUUUAUUCCA